CCUACGGGGGGCAGCAGUCGGGAAUAUUGCGCAAUGGAGGAAACUCUGACGCAGUGACGCCGCGUGUAGGAAGAAGGUUUUCGGAUUGUAAACUGCUUUAGACAGGGAAGAAACAAGACAGUACCUGUAAAAUAAGCUCCGGCUAACUACGUGCCAGCAGCCGCGGUAAUACGUAGGGAGCAAGCGUUAUCCGGAUUUAUUGGGUGUAAAGGGUGCGUAGACGGGAAGUCAAGUUGGUUGUGAAAUCCCUCGGCUUAACUGAGGAACUGCAACCAAAACUAACUUUCUUGAGUGCUGGAGAGGAA
rnacentral:rRNA from 1 species